AUUUAUAUAGUUUAAUAAAAACAUUACAUUUUCACUGUAAAAAUAAAAAAUUUUUUUAUAAAUA
rnacentral:tRNA from 1 species